rnacentral:rRNA from 1 species
AUGCACGCUGGCGGCGUGCCUAAUACAUGCAAGUCGAGCGAACAGACGAGGAGCUUGCUCCUCUGACGUUAGCGGCGGACGGGUGAGUAACACGUGGAUAACCUACCUAUAAGACUGGGAUAACUUCGGGAAACCGGAGCUAAUACCGGAUAACAUGUUGAACCGCAUGGUUCAACAGUGAAAGACGGUUUUGCUGUCACUUAUAGAUGGAUCCGCGCCGCAUUAGCUAGUUGGUAAGGUAACGGCUUACCAAGGCAACGAUGCGUAGCCGACCUGAGAGGGUGAUCGGCCACACUGGAACUGAGACACGGUCCAGACUCCUACGGGAGGCAGCAGUAGGGAAUCUUCCGCAAUGGGCGAAAGCCUGACGGAGCAACGCCGCGUGAGUGAAGAAGGUCUUCGGAUCGUAAAACUCUGUUAUUAGGGAAGAACAAAUGUGUAAGUAACUAUGCACGUCUUGACGGUACCUAAUCAGAAAGCCACGGCUAACUACGUG